rnacentral:piRNA from 1 species
GAUGAAGAUGAUGAAAACAGUGAAAA